UACGUAGGGUGCGAGCGUUGUCCGGAAUUACUGGGCGUAAAGAGCUUGUAGGUGGUUUGUCGCGUUGUUCGUGAAAUCUCACGGCUUAACUGUGAGCGUGCGGGCGAUACGGGCAGACUAGAGUACUGCAGGGGAGACUGGAAUUCCUGGUGUAGCGGUGGAAUGCGCAGAUAUCAGGAGGAACACCGGUGGCGAAGGCGGGUCUCUGGGCAGUAACUGAUGCUGAGAAGCGAAAGCGUGGGGAGCGAACAGG
rnacentral:rRNA from 1 species